GGGAAGGUGGCUCACUGGUGGUAGAGUGCUUGCCUUGCAUGCAUGAGGCCCUGGGUUCAAUUCCUCAGCACCCA
rnacentral:tRNA from 1 species